rnacentral:misc_RNA from 1 species
AUGGCUCAUAAAUCCUUCAAAGCCUGGUAAUACAAAACAAACAUCAAAUUAGCCCUCUUGCAUUUAAAAAUUAGGAGAAAGAACAACUUCAUCACAUCAGUCUGAAGGAAAAUUGAACAGUAAUGCAUCUGCUUUCAACAAGGAUAACUAUAUUCAUCACUGAUCAAGUUAUAUGCAAAAGCACCAACAUGAGCAACAUGAACUUAGACCAUGAAAAUGAAAGGAAAAGUAAAAAAAUAAAGCAAAAAUCGCAUGAAAAUUCAACAAGGAACCUUUUGACUAUCUUCCCAUGCGAUAAAUAAACAUAACUAAUAACAGUUAUGGGUAACAUAAUGGGCACUAGUUAGCAUAACAAUUACUAAUAGCAUUGACACACGACAAAUUCAUUUCCAUGAUUCAUACAAAUAUUAUGAAUCACAGAAAGAUUAUUAAUAGUAUCAACAAAUUUUCACACAUUUGAAUUUCAAAUCAAAAUUUCAAGAUCCCUGUUUCAAAAUAAAUCAUUUCAAUUUUCUACCUUUCCCUUAUUUAGAAAAAAAAAUUAAUUAAAUGUAAACUAAGCAAAGUAGUAUUGAAUUAGGCUUUCUGAACAUUAAAUUACAGUGAGGAAAAAAAAAAAAAAUAUUUCACUUACAUGAGC